AUCUACCUCUCCCCCCAACUUAGUGUCAUUCACCAACUUGCUGAGGGUGCAAUCCAUCCCAUCAUUCUCAUCACCUUCCUCUCCUCCAAGUGCUUCAAAAUGGAAUCCUUGAGGAGCUUCUCCAUAAUUUUUCUGGGGACUGAGGUGAGGCUGACCGGUCUAAACAGUUCAGAAAUGAAGGAUUUUUCUGAGAAUCCAUAUUUAUAUUUUUCUUAUGACAGAAAGCAAGCUGACAGUCUUUCUACCCUCGUGGGAUUUUUCCUUUGUCAGUGAGUGAGGAAUGCACUUAGCUUUUUGAUGCCUGACCAUCAUACGUAAUGGACACUUGCUUUGAAAUUAGCAUUUUCUGUUAAAGUCCUUUAUUAGCAUUUCACAAAAUUUCAUUGAUGGAUUAUUUAGUUACAGGGUUAUGCACAAUGUAAAUGUUUGCUAUUACAUAAUAACAGAAACUGAUAAGUGAAAACAGUACAAGUAACAUUCCACUAGUUUUCAUGAAGAUUAAAUUCCUGAAUACACUUUUAAAUUUAUACUCAUUUUGAUCUAUACUAAUACACAAGUGAAUACAUUCUAGUCCACUGGUCUGCCAGCGUUACAGGGUGCACCAUUGUUCUAUAUAAUUGGGCUUUCAGUCUCAGUGGCAUACACUUCUGAUGUGCAACACCUGGGAUGUUAUUCUAUACACUUCCAGCACUCAAACCUAGCUUUUGGCUCAUGUUCAAACACAGUCUUCUGUAAUCCAGCCAUUCAGGUAAUUGAACCAGUCAGUCUGGUUUAGUUGUACUCUAUUCAUCUCUAUCCGCAGUGUAGCCUGAUUUAGGGUGUGUUAAUAAUAUUAAUUUGGAUAGUAUGGGUUUUAGGCUUGCCAAUCUGUUUGAUUAGAAGAUAAAAGUUUUUGUCCCAAAUUAGGAUUCACAGAAUUUACAAAGGAUCCUCGGGGGUGUGACAGGAAGCUCACACUGAGACAGAUAUAGCCAUAAUGACUUUUUAUUAAAAUUAAUGAAAUAGUAAUUAAAUGGUAAAAUAAUCAGAGUUCCAAAGUUACAAUUGUAUUGCUGCUAUUUAAGAGAUACAUAUGGCAAUACAGUAUUGUAUGCUACAAAGCUUUGGUUGAUAUACUUACACCCUUUUUUGAUAACCUAGUGGUAAAAGACACAGGACCUCGCCUCUGGCAGUUCAGGUUUUUCAAUUCUUGAGUGAGAGGUGCAGAGCUUAGACGAAGCUAAUGCUAAGAACUAUUGAAGCUAACUUACAGUUUACUUAACUAAAUUAAAGUUAAAAUUAAAACCUAAUAAACAAAACUAAGAACAAAAGUUUAGGGAAACCAAACUUAGCCUUGUCCCCUAAGAACUUAAAGUUUGAAAAGAAAAUGAGUAUGGCCUACUAAUAGUAGUUGUCAUGGAUAGAUAGCAUAUGCUAGCGAGGUGGGUCACCUCUUUUAUAGGGCGGAAGUGCCAGAAAUCCUCUCUUAUAGCAAAUUUCAUUUCUCCCCCACAGAAAUGUUAGGGUACAUUUACCCCAUAGGCUAGUAUGUUUGUGUGUAUUGAUGACAUGAACAUACACACAUAAGUUUCCUUAUGGUGUACCUGUUAAGUCUGUGGGUACAAAAUUGAAAAAACCCUAUUCCAUUCUUCCAUUUUCUGUUGCUCUAGAUAAAAGGUCUUAGACGUAUGUGUGGGUAUCUAUUUAGGUAACAGAUCUUAAUAUGUAGGUUAACUUUGCUAUCUGGGUAAAAGGUUGUAAUAUAAAUAUACUAACUUUGCCUCAGCUUAACAUACAGGUUUUGGCCUGUAGGUCCCUUGCAUUACAGCCAAACUUAUUUUCAGUAAUUUAUAAACCUAUUACAAUAAAUCAAAUACUUAUAUCUUUUCUUAUAAAUUUAUCUAUGCAAGCAAGCAGAUUAAUCCUUUAGGCUACACCAGUUUCCCUGUGGCACUUCUACUGUUCCCUGUGACCUCUGUCUUAGUCAUGUUCAUUGUCAUCCCAUGGCUGCUUGGCUGGUCUACCAUUGGUUUACUAUUUUCUACAAGUCUUCUUUUGAAGAUGCCCUUAUUGCUAUUUCAUCUCUAUAUUGCAGGUUUUGACGUUUUCCCAUUGUGAUCAUCCUGCUGACAUAGUCCAUAAAUAUGAUAAACAGCAAUGGACUGAGGGCCAACCCCUGAUGCAAUCUGAUUUCUAAUACCAAGAGGCUUGCUGUUCCAGAACACAUUCAGAUCACUGUUUUAGAUCUAUAUCCUGCAUUCCCCAUAGUUAUUACAUUCUCAGAUAAUAUUUCAGUACUGGUGCGAGCAUCCUUCUGUUCAUUUUAACAUAUGCUUUUUCUAGGGUCUAUGACAGCCCAGAAGCUAUCCUGUUGAUAUUCUAGCUGCUUCUCUGUCACUUGCCGAAUUACGAACAUGGAAUCUAUGGUUGCUUGGCUUUUCCUAAAGCAGAACUGUUCUUGUUCACUUGUCCUGUCCACCUUUCUCCCAAUCCUAGCAUCCAAUGUGUGUUCUGGUAACUUUAUCCCUUGAUAGUGUCUGCAUUCAUGGAUGCUUCCCUGUAUUGAUACCAAAAUAGAUUCUCAUCAGUCUUCAGGAAUUCUCUUGAUUCACUCUAUGACUUUUAACUAUUCUGCUCAUCCACUUCAUACCUCUCUUGCCCAGGAUUUUCACCAGGUCUGCCAUCAUUUUCUCAGAUCCCAAUGCCUUACUAUUCUUCAUUUUCUGGACUAGAUUUUCUCACCUUAUCCUCCAUUGUCAGACUCAGAUCUGACAUUGGGCUCACAUGUUGGCAACUCUGCUAAAAAGGCCGUUUUGCCCCUCAAACUACUGUUUCCACCUCUCCUUUGCUUAUUCAUGUGUUACUAAUAGCCUCCUCUGGUCAUUCUUUACGAAUGGCACUGCAAAACCAUCCUUCCUUUUGAUCUCAUUGUCCAGCUAUGCCGGAAGGACAGGAGAAACUGCAUGUGGUUUAAUUAGGCUACCAUUUUAUUAACUAUCUGGGAGCUCCCCACAGAUAAAAGUGUAUAAUUCUGGUAAUGGCAUUAUCAUUUCAAUAUAUACUGGGGGGCUUCCAUCAGCCAACCCUCUUUCCCAUCCUAGUCCCCAGCCCACCUAUUGCUGGGACCUUCCAUCUCCCCCAUGUGGGAUAAGGUGGGCUCUAAGAGGGGCAGUUGGCUUCCUGCCAUGUGAGAAAUAGGAGCCCUGAACUUCCCAGUUUCCAGUCCUUUAACAAAUACCUCCUUUGAAUUCUUUACCAAUCCAUUUAUCUGAUCCCCUCCAUACAGAAGGUUCUGAGCUAUGCCUAAAAUUUGCUCCCCUUCUGUUACUAAAUGCCAGCUUUUCCCUCUGUGGGCUGAAGUGUGUGUGGGAAGCAUUCCUACCCCUUCCCCUGCUCUCACCAUCAUGCUACCACAUGGCACCAUGGAGAUUGCAGAGCUUGAGUCCUUGCUGUUCUGCCUGGUACAGGUAAAAGAGGGCUUUUCCUGCUUGACUUAACCUCUCCUCUCUUCCAGUCACCUAAGAGGAUGGGUCAGCAUCCUCACGUUGACCUGCUCUGCCAUUGCUGCAACCUCACUCCUUGCCUUGCUAUCCUUUAAAGAGGUACACACCUUCCUCCAGCCAAACAGUCCGUUUCCCCCCCACACACACAUAUACCUGCUUAAUGUGUGGUGUGGCCAUUUUUGCCAUGCUGUAGAUAUUUUUGCCAGUGGUUCCUCCAGCAAGGCAAUCAACAAUCCCUCUCUCCACACUUAAUGUGGAGUGUGGUCAUUUUUGUCAAGCUAUAGAUCUUUUUGCCAGCCAGUUGUGGAUAGUUUACAAGGUUGGCAUACAAGCUUGGUCAUGUAUGGCAUUCUUUUUGCCUUCUUCAUUGCCUGCUUGGCAGCUCACUUUCCUUCCUUCUAUUCACUUUCAUUUAUACUCAGUGUAUUUCUUUAGGCUCUAUUUUCUUGUUUUGGGUAACUACCUGUGCUUCAGUCUAUCACCACUCUUCUCUUUCCCUCUGUUUUCCCCAUCUGCAUCAGCCACAAAUCUCUUCCGCUGCUGCAAUCCAUGUUCUUUUGAGGUAGUUCCAUUCUUCAGCCAAUACCAAAUUUAUUUCCACUACUGAUGUACGUGUCCAAAUGAUUCACCUUCUUUUGAAACCAUGGAUUGGCUAUUACAUAUGGUUUAGUAAUAAUUUCCCUUCCUCAUUCCAUAGUACCUAGACUGGAAUUUCCUAAACACAUUAUAUUACCCCUUCUGUUUUUGCCUGUCUCUUCCAUAUCUCAAGUCAUCCAACAUCUCCUUUGGCAUGGUUCUGUCCGCUAGUGCUUUCAAAUCUUGGUGGAAACUCUGCUUCAUUGCAUCUUUCUUGAGGUGCAUAUGCUGAUAUCACAAACAGAACAUGCUCCUUAAUUUGGACCCAUACAGCCAUCACUCGGUCACUUACUCUAAUAAUUUCAAUUAUUGUUCUCUCUCAGCUCUCCUCUCACUACCAUCCUGACUCCAUUACAUCUGCUUUUGUUACCACAGAAGAGUUUACAAUUUAAGCCCAGCUCCCUCACUGCAUUCCCCAUUCACUGUGUUUUCUGCAGGUAUAGAACACAAAUACCUCUCCGUACCUUCAUAUCAGCUACUUUCACACCUUUGUCAGUCAAAUGGGGUACAUUCAAUAUUGCUACUUAUAUGGGAAUUCUUUGGCUGUGCAGGUCGUUGCGAUUCAUCUGACUCUUCAUUCUACCUUUUACAGGACUGUUCAGACACUGACUGCCAGAAAUCCCCAGCUCAGAUGCUGGGGCUGCCAGGCUUGAGGUGGGUGAACUUCUGGCAUAAGGCUAAGAUGCCCUCUCACCAUUAGCAUUAUCCCUUGCUAAUAUCUACUACUGCCCUUUGGUAACUCACCAAAAAGAAAAACAUUGCUUGCACCAACUAGUCACCUUGUGCCAGAAACUAUAGUGUAUUAAUUGGUGUCCCUGACAUACACUGCAGUGAGAAGGCCUUUCCCCAGUUGAACUAAGUACAUGCCCAAACUCUCCCCAUCUUGUUGCUAUAGACCAGAUGGAUCAAUAAGAGGCGGUACUGCUGUUGCUGCUGCCCAACACCAUGCUUUAUUUAUCCCAUAGAUGAGGGUUUCAGAUCAGAGUUUUCCUUCUCCUAAAUAGGCUACCCAUCCAGACUGAGGAGCCCUAUCUGUCCCGAGAGAUUUGAUAAUAAUUCAGCAAAAGGCUCAUUUUUGUCCUAGUAUGAUUUCAUGCACCUAAAAACAAUGUCCAGUCUUGAUUGACAUGCAGUUUUUUAACUACAUUAUUUCAUAUGGUCUUCAUGCUUUUAACUACAGUGAACUUUCACUGUAUUAGACAGAAGGCCUCAGUAAGAUAUUAGUUUUUAACUUAAGAACUUUAAAAUUUCAUGUGAGAGCCACACUCAAUCCUGUGUUAUAGUAUGGUGAAAAAGUUAAUUCCAAUAAAGAAAGUACUCACCUUGUGCAGUAAUGUUGCUUCCUUGAGAUGUGCACCCCUAUGGAUGCUCCACUGUAGGUUGUCUAUGUCCCUGCGCUGCUGAUCAGAGAACUUUGGUAGCAGUCUGUCCCACCCGCACAUGCAUUGCUCCCCGCCUGCCACUAGGCUAGGCAGCAUGCAUGGGCAAUUCCUCCUCAGUUACUUCUCUACUGCAGAGUCAACUACUAGGACUCCGAAGUAGAAGGGAAUUCCCAUUGGGACACACAGCUCGAAGAACAAUCAUUAUUGCACAAGGUGAGUAACUUCCUCAAAUGGUGUCCAUAUGGAUGGCUCCACUGUAGGUGACUCCUGAGCAGUGCCCACCACUGGAGAUUGUGACUUUGGAGUCGAGUCGGAUAUGGAUGAUAGUACUAUGGCACCAAAUUUGGAGUCUGAAGCCAAAUCCCCAGGAUGCCAUAGUGUUCUGCAAAGGUAUGUGCAGAUGCCCAGGUAACUGCUCUGCAGAUUUCUGAUAUAGGAAUACCCUGGACAAAGGAUGAGGAGACCAAUCUCGUAGAAUGCGUGCGUAUUGAAGAUAGGGGGGAGGGGCGGGUUACAUUAUGCAAUUGGUAACAGAAUUUAAUACAGCCCAAGACCCACUUAGAGAGACAGUGAGAUGAAAUCACUGUGCCUUUUGACCUAUCUGCAAUGGAGAGGAGGAGUUUUGAAGAUUUUCUGAAGGCUCUUCUCACGCCGAGCAAAUAGAGGAUAGCUUCCCUAUUAUCCUUAUGAGGUUUGGGAUAAAAGGCUGGAAACUGAAUAAGCUAAUUUAUGUGAAGGCAGAAGUCAUGUUGGGAAUGAAUUUCAGAUGUUGUCUAAGCGUGACCUUGUCAGGGAAGAACCCAGUGAAAGGGGAAUGUGCCAUUGGAGCUUCUAUUUCCCCAAUCCUUCUUGCAGGGGUGAUGACGAUAAGAAACACCAUCCUCAUGGUAAGGUGAGUUAACGAACAAGUGGCCACGGGUUCAAAUGGUGGCCUAGUCAGACCUUUUAAUAGUAGGUUGCGAUCCUGUUGAGGCAUGGGAAGUCUGGGUUGUGGGAAAAAGUUUGCUAUGCAUUUAAUAAACUUCUUCAUAGUCGGAUGGGAGAAGAUUGAAUAUCCUUGUCUGCUGAAGGAAGGUUGCAAUUGCUGCUAGGUGAAACAAUAGAGAGUCCCGAUUUCUUGAGAGUCAACAGGUAGUCUAUGAUCACUGGUAGGGUGGAUGUAUUAGGGAUGACACGUUUGGGAUGGAGAUAGUUUUGUAGAUAGUUUGUAGAUAGUUAUGGCAAGUAGCUCCUUUCCUACUGAGCAAUAACAAAUCCUAUACCACCUCAGAGCAAGAUGUCUCUAUGUGCUGGAACCAUGAAGGAGCCAGACUUCGAGACACAGAAUCCACAGGUUGGGAUGGAGAGUGUCUCUCUCUUUCAGCGACAUAAGAUAAGGAGUGAUUGGAAGAGUCAUCGGUGGCCACAGUGCCAGCUGUGACAGGUAAGGGUACCACGUCUGUCUGGGCCAGGUGGGAGAAAUCAGUAUGCUUGCUCUCUUCACUUUCAACAGGACUUUCAAUAUUAGAGGGAAUGGGGGAAAAGCAUAAAGGAGGCCUUUGUCCCAUGGAAGGAGGAGGGCAUUUCCCAUGGAAUGUCGUCCGAUCCCCACUCUAGAGCAGUACUGUGGACACUGCUUGUUCUGGUAAGUAGUGAAUAGGUCUACUACCAGUAUCCCCCAUUGUCAGAAUAUGUUGUGGAGUACCACCAAAUCUAUCUCCCAUUCGUGGUCAUGUGGGAAUUUGUGGAUGAGACUGUCUGCCGUCAUGUUGUGUAUUCCUGGUAAGUAGGCAGCUGAUAUUAAGAUACUGUGGGAGAUGCACCAGUUCCACAGUUUUAGUGCUUCUACGCACAGGGAAUGAGACCUUUUGCCUACAUGAUGGUUUGUGUAAUACAUGCAGGCCAUAUUAUCUGUCAUGACCCUUUUGUGCAUGUCUUUGAUCAGCAGGAGGAAGCAAGUGCACGUGUUGAUCUCUCGCCUGGAGACCAUUUGUCCUGUAUUGUGCGACCAUUGAGAUCCAUGCGGUUAGGAGUAGAGAUCAGGAAGACUGAACAAACGGGAUUCCCGUACAGACGUUUACCGGGUCCUUCUACCAAUCAGAGGAUCGCUUGACCCUGGCCCAGAUUCUGAAACAGGUCCAGUGUGGUCUGAGUGACUUGCUGGGACUCUGCAAAGGACCAUACCCUGAGAAGGCAGUCGUCCAGGUUCUGUGGAACGGGGCGAGAUGAUCUCCGAAGGGAUGGGUGUUUUCCAUCGUGAAAUGAGGAGAGAAUUCUACGGGCACCUCAAUCAACCCGUCAAAACUAUUUCUUCGAGGUGGAGGGCUGAGAGGCAGUUUGCUGAGAUCCCAACAUCUUCCAUCUGGAGAACCUGGGAUUCUUCCUCUGAGGUUCAUACAAUCUCUGUGUAUAUUGAGAUGGAUAUUGUGACUACUGAGAUGAGUAUUGUGAGCAAGGCUUGAAUGGUGGCUGAGGGCUGUACUUUCUUUUAUACCCAGGUAUAUAGAUCCCAAGGGAUUGAAGAGUGACCCUCAAAUCUUUUAACAGAUGGAGGGAGGCAUCUGUCUUUUCAGCAAAUAAUUUUGUCCCCUAAAAGGGGUAGUUCUCCACCGUUGUUUGGACCUCCUUGAGGAAGUCAGAGAUGAAGCCACGAGGCCUGUCUCAUCACAACGCAGUCAAAAUAGAUCGUGCCACCGUCAAAUGCAUACUGGAGCGACUUUUUGCCACCAACUGGCUCUCAUUAACCAAGGCCUUAAAUUGGUCCUUGUGAGGAUGGGGAAGCUGUUCAAUAAAAGAACUAAA